UUACGGCUACACCACGUGGAAAUACCGAUUCCCGUACGAUUGCAGAAGUUAAGCAACAUCGAGCCUGGUCAUUACUUAGAUAGGUAACCGCUUGAGAAUACCGAGUGCUGUAAG